GUACAAACUUAUACAUGUGUGAAUCCCAUUUUCUCUCUCUUUUCUACUCUUAUGAUAGUAAAAUCUCUCUUUUCUAUCAGAGUACUUCCUCCACUUUCGCUCAGAUCCCAUUCCUUAUCUCAUUCUCAAAGUCUCAUGUCCUUGUUAAUUCUGUCUCCCCAUCCUAUCAGCAAACUCUUUCCAGAUUAUCUAUAUCAGCAUUAAAUGGUGAUCUACUACCCCACUUAAAAACAGCAUUUGGGGCGCCUGGGUGGCGCAGUCGGUUAAGCGUCCGACUUCAGCCAGGUCACGAUCUCGCGGUCCGUGAGUUCGAGCCCCGCGUCGGGCUCUGGGCUGAUGGCUUGGAGACUGGAGCCUGUUUCCAAUUCUGUGUCUCCCCCUCUCUCUGCCCCUCCCCCGUUCAUGCUCUGUCUCUCUCUGUCCCAAAAAUAAAUAAACGUUUAAAAAAAAUUAAAAAAAAACAGCAUCUAAGAAUAAAGAAAAACAAAACAAAAUGCUUCCCCAGAUCAAACUUCACCCCCAUCCCCCUCUCCCUGUCAACAAAGCUGCGUUUCCUAUUCAAUCCAUUGCUGACUGGAUCCUGCCUCUACUCCAGUCAACAACAAAAGAUUUGUCCAGAACAUUUGUCUAUCUUCAUCUCACUCAGCUUUCUAGAAACUAUAACAAAGUGGCACAUUAAUCUCUUCCUCCUUGCAAAACUGUGUAUAGGGGUGGGAUUUGGAGGGGAGCAGGAGCAUCCUUUAUACCACUGUGCCUUGUUUUCCUCAACCUGGAUUUGCCUUGCUAUCUGUUGUUCACUCCCUUCCUGUACAAAGCCUCCACAUAUCUGGGUUCCCCAGGUUACCAGCUUGGGUCCAAUUCUUUGGUCUCUGAAUAUUUAACCUGUGAUGAUAAUCAUAAGUACCAGUGGAUUUAAACACCACCUCUCUGCUGAUGUUUCCUAAUUAAUUUCUCUACCCCAGACUCCUAGUCUUGAUUCUUUAUUUGCAUGUCCACAUGAUCUCUCCAAAACAAUCUGUUUGUGAUCCUUUCAGUCUUAUGCCCCAAUUAUGCCCCAUGCUUCCUCUUUUACUCAUCUCACAUUUAUAACUUUAGCCCACACCAGUAACAUGCAAACUUAUUUCCCCACCUCUAUUUAUCUUACAUCCCAAUCCAUUUUUUAUCCAGCUGCAAAAGCCACUUUAAAAUCCAAAUCACAUCACAUUUCACUGCAGAGUAAGUGUUUCAAUGACUUCCCACUGAAGUUAGGAUCAAAUC
rnacentral:lncRNA from 1 species